GUCGAGUACUUCACUCGUUUCAAAACAAACGUUUGACCGUUCAUUUUAUUUAAAAAAAAUUUUAUGAUUACUUUUUUAUUAUUAGAUGGUAAAACAUAAAUAGUAUUUUAUGUGUGACUAUUUUUUUUAAUUUUUUUAAAUAAAAUAAACGGUUAAAUGUUAAACACGGAUACUUACGACAUCACUUAUU
rnacentral:pre_miRNA from 1 species